GACGAACGCUGGCGGCGUGCUUAACACAUGCAAGUCGAACGGAAAGGCCCUGCUUUUGUGGGGUGCUCGAGUGGCGAACGGGUGAGUAACACGUGAGUAACCUGCCCUUGACUUUGGGAUAACUUCAGGAAACUGGGGCUAAUACCGGAUAGGAGCUCCUGCUGCAGGGUGGGGGUUGGAAAGUUUCGGUGGUUGGGGAUGGACUCGCGGCUUAUCAGCUUGUUGGUGGGGUAGUGGCUUACCAAGGCUUUGACGGGUAGCCGGCCUGAGAGGGUGACCGGCCACAUUGGGACUGAGAUACGGCCCAGACUCCUACGGGAGGCAGCAGUGGGGAAUAUUGCACAAUGGGCGGAAGCCUGAUGCAGCAACGCCGCGUGCGGGAUGACGGCCUUCGGGUUGUAAACCGCUUUCGCCUGUGACGAAGCGUGAGUGACGGUAAUGGGUAAAGAAGCACCGGCUAACUACGUG
rnacentral:rRNA from 1 species